rnacentral:rRNA from 1 species
GACAGAGGGUGCAAACGUUGUUCGGAAUUACUGGGCGUAAAGCGCGUGUAGGCGGCUCGGCAAGUCGGGUGUGAAAGCCCUGGGCUUAACCUAGGAAGUGCACUCGAAACUGCCAAGCUUGAGUUCUGGAGAGGAAGGCGGAAUUCUCGGUGUAGAGGUGAAAUUCGUAGAUAUCGAGAGGAACACCGGUGGCGAAGGCGGCCUUCUGGACGAUGACUGACGCUGAGACGCGAAAGCGUGGGGAGCAAACAGG